GGGAAAGUUGUUUUCUUCAAUGAUCACAAUUUGCAUGCCUCUUUACAUUAGUAUUGGCCUAUUAAUAGAAAGCUUCCCCCCACUAACUAAUCAGUAACCAAUUUUCUGCAAGUGGUAGCCGUUAUAACAAUUCCAGCAAGGUAAUAUUUGGCUAACAGAAUUUGGCUAACUAUUUUUGUGUUAUUUUCUGCGGAGUCAUUACAUUUGCCCCCCCCUUUAAAACAAUCCUAAUCUCUAGGAUUGAAGUCAGGAAAUUGACUCUUGAUGACUGACAGGUCU
rnacentral:lncRNA from 1 species